rnacentral:tRNA from 1 species
GUUCAUAUAGUUUAAUGGUAAAACUGAUUGCUUCUAACGAUCUGAUCUGGGUUCAAAUCCUAGUAUGAAUG